UACGUAGGGGGCUAGCGUUGCUCGGAAUCACUGGGCGUAAAGCGCACGUAGGCGGCUUUGUAAGUUAGAGGUGAAAGCCCGGGGCUCAACUCCGGAAUUGCCUUUAAGACUGCAUCGCUAGAACGUCGGAGAGGUAAGUGGAAUUCCGAGUGUAGAGGUGAAAUUCGUAGAUAUUCGGAAGAACACCAGUGGCGAAGGCGACUUACUGGACGACUGUUGACGCUGAGGUGCGAAAGCGUGGGGAGCAAACAGG
rnacentral:rRNA from 1 species